GAUGAAGAACGUAGCGAAAUGCGAUAACUAAUGUGAAUUGCAGAAUUCCGUGAAUCAUCGAGUCUUUGAACGCACAUUGCGCCCCCUGGUAUUCCGGGGGGCAUGCCUGUCCGAGCGUCAUUGCUGCCCAUCAAGCACGGCUUGUGUGUUGGGUCCCGUCCCCCUCUCCCGGGGGACGGACCCGAAAGGCAGCGGCGGCACCGCGUCCGGUCCUCGAGCGUAUGGGGCUUUGUCACCCGCUCUUGUAGGCCCGGCCGGCGCUUGCCGACACCCAACCAUUUUUUUUCAGGUUGACCUCGGAUCAGGUAGGGAUACCCGCUGAACUUAAGCAUAUCAAUAAGCGGAGGA
rnacentral:misc_RNA from 1 species